CUUAUAUCAACUGAGCAUGAAUGGGAGUAUGUGAAUAGGUUACUAACCGCUCAAACGAAAAAUCUUAUUCUCAAGGGAAUGACACGUUGCCAGAAAUGGGUAAAAAAACUUUUGCCCAAAGUAAAGAGGUCUAUGUCAGUUUAUCGAUGCCCGUGAUCGAUAAGAGAUGUGUGAUCGAUAGUGCCUGCGAAAAGGCCCGCGAAAAGCUAGGGGAAAACUCGGAUUAAAAAAAAAUUAUUACAUGUG